CACCAUAUCCAUAACACCACCGCC
rnacentral:siRNA from 1 species